rnacentral:rRNA from 1 species
AGUGAACGCUGGCGGUAGGCCUAACACAUGCAAGUCGAACGGCAGCACAGUAAGAGCUUGCUCUUACGGGUGGCGAGUGGCGGACGGGUGAGGAAUACAUCGGAAUCUACUUUUUCGUGGGGGAUAACGUAGGGAAACUUACGCUAAUACCGCAUACGACCUACGGGUGAAAGCAGGGGAUCUUCGGACCUUGCGCGAUUGAAUGAGCCGAUGCCGGAUUAGCUAGUUGGCGGGGUAAAGGCCCACCAAGGCGACGAUCCGUAGCUGGUCUGAGAGGAUGAUCAGCCACACUGGAACUGAGACACGGUCCAGACUCCUACGGGAGGCAGCAGUGGGGAAUAUUGGACAAUGGGCGCAAGCCUGAUCCAGCCAUACCGCGUGGGUGAAGAAGGCCUUCGGGUUGUAAAGCCCUUUUGUUGGGAAAGAAAAGCAGCAGGUUAAUACCCCGCUGUUCUGACGGUACCCAAAGAAUAAACACCGGCUAACUUCGU